rnacentral:rRNA from 1 species
UACAGAGGUCUCAAGCGUUGUUCGGAUUCAUUGGGCGUAAAGCGCACGUAGGCGGUCCGGUAAGUCGGAUGUGAAAUCCCUCGGCUCAACCGAGGAAGGGCAUCCGAAACUGCCGGGCUUGAGUACGGAAGAGGGUCUCGGAAUUCCCGGUGUAGAGGUGAAAUUCGUAGAUAUCGGGAGGAACACCAGUGGCGAAGGCGGAGACCUGGGCCGAUACUGACGCUGAGGUGCGAAAGCGUGGGGAGCAAACAGG